AGUUGUCUUCGGGGCGGGGUGUAAUUCCCCACCGGUGGUAAAGUCCACGAGCCAUUAUGGUUGAAUUGGUGAAACUCCAAUACCGACGGUUAUAGUCCGGAUGAAAGAGGAUGAAU
rfam:Eubacterium sp. CAG:581 genomic scaffold, scf310